rnacentral:rRNA from 1 species
AACGAACGCUGGCGGCAGGCUUAACACAUGCAAGUCGAACGCCCCGCAAGGGGAGUGGCAGACGGGUGAGUAACGCGUGGGAACAUACCCUUUUCUACGGAAUAGCUCUGGGAAACUGGAAUUAAUACCGUAUACGCCCUACGGGGGAAAGAUUUAUCGGGGAAGGAUUGGCCCGCGUUGGAUUAGCUAGUUGGUGGGGUAAAGGCCUACCAAGGCGACGAUCCAUAGCUGGUCUGAGAGGAUGAUCAGCCACAUUGGGACUGAGACACGGCCCAAACUCCUACGGGAGGCAGCAGUAGGGAAUAUUGGACAAUGGGCGCAAGCCUGAUCCAGCCAUGCCGCGUGAGUGAUGAAGGCCUUAGGGUUGUAAAGCUCUUUCACCGAUGAAGAUAAUGACGGUAGUCGGAGAAGAAGCCCCGGCUAACUUCGUG